rnacentral:rRNA from 1 species
GAUGAACGCUGGCGGCGUGCCUAAUACAUGCAAGUCGAGCGAACAGACGAGGAGCUUUCUCCUCUGACGUUAGCGGCGGACGGGUGAGUAACACGUGUAUAACCUACCUAUAUUACUUGUAUAACUUCGUGAAACCUGAUCUAAUACCGGAUAAUAUAUUUAACCUCAUGGUUCAUUAGUUAAAUACGGUUUUUCUGUCUCUUAUAGAUUUUUCCUCGCCGCAUUAGCUAGUUGGUAAGGUAACGGCUUACCAAGGCAACGAUGCGUAGCCGACCUGAGAGGGGGAUCGGACAGACUGGAACUGAGACACGGUACAGACUACGACGGGAGGCAGCAGUAGGGAAUGUUACGCAAUGGGCGAAAGUAUGACGGAGCAAAGCCGCGUGAGUGAUGAAGGUGUUCGGAUCGUAAAAAACUGUUAUUAGGGAAGAACAAAUGUGUAAGUAACUAUGCACGUAUUGACGGUAACUAAUCAGAAAGCAACGGCUAACUACGUG